CCUACGGGGGGCAGCAGUGGGGAAUAUUGGACAAUGGGGGGAACCCUGAUCCAGCCAUGCCGCGUGUGUGAAGAAGGCCCUCGGGUUGUAAAGCACUUUCAGUGAGGAAGAACGCCUGGUGGUUAAUACCCAUCAGGAAAGACAUCACUCACAGAAGAAGCACCGGCUAACUCCGUGCCAGCAGCCGCGGUAAUACGGAGGGUGCGAGCGUUAAUCGGAAUUACUGGGCGUAAAGCGCGCGUAGGUGGCUUGAUAAGCCGGUUGUGAAAGCCCCGGGCUCAACCUGGGAACGGCAUCCGGAACUGUCAAGCUAGAGGGCAGGAGAGGAAGGUAGAAUUCCCGGUGUAGCGGUGAAAUGCGUAGAGAUCGGGAGGAAUACCAGUGGCGAAGGCGGCCUUCUGGACUGACACUGACACUGAGGUGCGAAAGCGUGGGUAGCAAACAGGAUUAGAUACCCGGGUAGUC
rnacentral:rRNA from 1 species